CGGAUGACUUGUGGCUGGGGGUGAAAGGCCAAUCAAACCGGGAGAUAGCUGGUUCUCCCCGAAAGCUAUUUAGGUAGCGCCUCGUGAAUUCAUCUCCGGGGGUAGAGCACUGUUUCGGCAAGGGGGUCAUCCCGACUUACCAACCCGAUGCAAACUGCGAAUACCGGAGAAUGUUAUCACGGGAGACACACGGCGGGUGCUAACGUCCGUCGUGAAGAGGGAAACAACCCAGACCGCCAGCUAAGGUCCCAAAGUCAUGGUUAAGUGGGAAACGAUGUGGGAAGGCCCAGACAGCCAGGAUGUUGGCUUAGAAGCAGCCAUCAUUUAAAGAAAGCGUAAUAGCUCACUGGUCGAGUCGGCCUGCGCGGAAGAUGUAACGGGGCUAAACCAUGCACCGAAGCUGCGGCAGCGACGCUGAUGCGUUGUUGGGUAGGGGAGCGUUCUGUAAGCCUGCGAAGGUGUGCUGUGAGGCAUGCUGGAGGUAUCAGAAGUGCGAAUGCUGACAUAAGUAACGAUAAAGCGGGUGAAAAGCCCGCUCGCCGGAAGACCAAGGGUUCCUGUCCAACGUUAAUCGGGGCAGGGUGAGUCGACCCCUAAGGCGAGGCCGAAAGGCGUAGUCGAUGGGAAACAGGUUAAUAUUCCUGUACUUGGUGUUACUGCGAAGGGGGGACGGAGAAGGCUAUGUUGGCCGGGCGACGGUUGUCCCGGUUUAAGCGUGUAGGCUGGUUUUCCAGGCAAAUCCGGAAAAUCAAGGCUGAGGCGUGAUGACGAGGCACUACGGUGCUGAAGCAACAA
rnacentral:rRNA from 1 species